rnacentral:rRNA from 1 species
GAUGAACGCUGGCGGCGUGCCUAAUACAUGCAAGUCGAGCGAACGGACGAGAAGCUUGCUUUUCUGAUGCUAGCGGCGGACGGGUGAGUAACACGUGGAUAACCUACCUAUAAGACUGGGAUAACUUCGGGAAACCGGAGCUAAUACCGGAUAAUAUUUUGAACCGCAUGGUUCAAAAGUGAAAGACGGUCUUGCUGUCACUUAUAGAUGGAUCCGCGCUGCAUUAGCUAGUUGGUAAGGUAACGGCUUACCAAGGCAACGAUGCAUAGCCGACCUGAGAGGGUGAUCGGCCACACUGGAACUGAGACACGGUCCAGACUCCUACGGGAGGCAGCAGUAGGGAAUCUUACGCAAUGGGCGAAAGCCUGACGGAGCAACGCCGCGUGAGUGAUGAAGGUCUUCGGAUCGUAAAACUCUGUUAUUAGGGAAGAACAUAUGUGUAAGUAACUGUGCACAUCUUGACGGUACCUAAUCAGAAAGCCACGGCUAACUACGUG